rnacentral:rRNA from 1 species
AUUGAACGCUGGCGGCAGGCCUAACACAUGCAAGUCGAGCGGAUGAAGGGAGCUUGCUCCUGGAUUCAGCGGCGGACGGGUGAGUAAUGCCUAGGAAUCUGACUGGUAGUGGGGGAUAACGUCCGGAAACGGGCGCUAAUACCGCAUACGUCCUGAGGGAGAAAGUGGGGGAUCUUCGGACCUCACGCUAUCAGAUGAGCCUAGGUCGGAUUAGCUAGUUGGUGGGGUAUAGGCCUACCAAGGCGACGAUCCGUAACUGGUCUGAGAGGAUGAUCAGUCACACUGGAACUGAGACACGGUCCAGACUCCUACGGGAGGCAGCAGUAGGGAAUAUUGGACAAUGGGCGAAAGCCUGAUCCAGCCAUGCCGCGUGUGUGAAGAAGGUCUUCGGAUUGUAAAGCACUUUAAGUUGGGAGGAAGGGCAGUAAGUUAAUACCUUGCUGUUUUGACGGUACCAACAGAAUAAGCACCGGCUAACUUCGUG